UACGUAGGGCGCAAGCGUUGUCCGGAAUUAUUGGGCGUAAAGAGCUCGUAGGCGGUUUGUCGCGUCUGCUGUGAAAACCUAAGGCUCAACCUUGGGCUUGCAGUGGGUACGGGCAGACUAGAGUGCGGGUAGGGGUGACUGGAAUUCCUGGUGUAGCGGUGGAAUGCGCAGAUAUCAGGAGGAACACCGGUGGGCGAAGGCGGUUCUCUGGGAAUGUCCUGA
rnacentral:rRNA from 1 species